CAACCCCCCGGCCCCCUCCUCUGAAGAGGAGGGGGGGAUUGGCAUCGGAAGCCCCCUCCUCUUCAGAGGAGGGGGUUUGGGGGUGG
rnacentral:miRNA from 22 species